rnacentral:rRNA from 1 species
CUACGGGUUGCUGCAGUGAGGAAUAUUGCACAAUGGGGGGAACCCUGAUGCAGCAACGCCGCGUGGAGGAUGACGCAUUUCGGUGUGUAAACUCCUUUUAUAUGUCAAGAAAAUGACGGUAGCAUAUGAAUAAGCACCGGCUAACUCCGUGCCAGCAGCCGCGGUAAUACGGAGGGUGCAAGCGUUACUCGGAAUCACUGGGCGUAAAGGACGCGUAGGCGGGUUGGAAAGUCAGGUGUGAAAUCCUACAGCUUAACUGUAGAACUGCACUUGAAACUUCUAAUCUAGAGUAUGGGAGGGGGAGAUGGAAUUAGUGGUGUAGGGGUAAAAUCCGUAGAUAUCACUAGGAAUACCGAAAGCGAAGGCGAUCUCCUGGAACAUUACUGACGCUAAGGCGUGAAAGCGUGGGGAGCAAACAGGAUUAGAUACCCUUGCAGUC